rnacentral:rRNA from 1 species
AACGAACGCUGGCGGCGCGCCUAAUACAUGCAAGUCCAGCGAGAAGACGUAGCAAUACGUUUGUAAAGCGGCGAACGGGUGAGGAAUACAUGGGUAACCUACCCUCGAGUGGGGAAUAACUAGCCGAAAGGUUAGCUAAUACCGCGUACGCUCCUUGGACUUCGGUUCAGGGAGGAAAGCGAUACCGUGGGUAUCGCGCUCAUGGAUGGGCUCAUGUCCUAUCAGCUUGNGGUGAGGUAACGGCUCACCAAGGCUUCGACGGGUAGCUGGUCUGAGAGGACGAUCAGCCACACUGGCACUGCGACACGGGCCAGACUCCUACGGGAGGCAGCAGUAAGGAAUAUUGCGCAAUGGGCGAAAGCCUGACGCAGCGACGCC